AGUGAGGAAUAUUGGACAAUGGUCGGAAGACUGAUCCAGCCAUGCCGCGUGCAGGAUGACGGCCCUAUGGGUUGUAAACUGCUUUUAUACGGGAAGAAACGCACCUACGUGUAGGUGUCUGACGGUACCGUAAGAAUAAGGACCGGCUAACUCCGUGCCAGCAGCCGCGGUAAUACGGAGGGUCCGAGCGUUAUCCGGAAUCAUUGGGUUUAAAGGGUCCGUAGGCGGGCCUGUAAGUCAGGGGUGAAAGUUUGUGGCUCAACCAUAAAAUUGCCUUUGAUACUGCAGGUCUUGAGUCAUGGUGGGGUUGCCGGAACAUGUGGUGUAGCGGUGAAAUGCAUAGAUAUCACAUAGAACACCGAUCGCGAAGGCAGGUGACCAACCAUGUACUGACGCUGAUGGACGAAAGCGUGGGUAGCGAACGGGAUUAGAUACCCCGGUAGUCCACGCCGUAAACGAUGGAUACUAGCUGUGGGGACCUCGGUCUCCGUGGCCAAGCGAAAGUGAUAAGUAUCCCACCUGGGGAGUACGUUCGCAAGAAUGAAACUCAAAGGAAUUGACGGGGGCCCGCACAAGCGGUGGAGCAUGUGGUUUAAUUCGAUGAUACGCGAGGAACCUUACCAGGGCUUAAAUGCAGGCUGCAUGGGGUGGAGACAUCCCUUUCUUCGGACUGCCUGCAAGGUGCUGCAUGGUUGUCGUCAGCUCGUGCCGUGAGGUGUCAGGUUAAGUCCUAUAACGAGCGCAACCCCUGCCGUUAGUUGCCAGCAUGUAAAGAUGGGGACUCUAACGGGACUGCCGGUGCAAACCGUGAGGAAGGUGGGGACGACGUCAAAUCAUCACGGCCCUUACGUCCUGGGCCACACACGUGCUACAAUGGCCGGUACAGAGGGAAGCCACCCCGCAAGGGGGCGCGGAUCUAUAAAACCGGUCACAGUUCGGAUCGGGGUCUGCAACUCGACCCCGUGAAGCUGGAAUCGCUAGUAAUCGGAUAUCAGCCAUGAUCCGGUGAAUACGU
rnacentral:rRNA from 1 species